rnacentral:rRNA from 1 species
GAUGAACGCUGGCGGCGUGCCUAAUACAUGCAAGUCGAGCGAACAGACGAGGAGCUUGCUCCUCUGACGUUAGCAGCGGACGGGUGAGUAACACGUGGAUAACCUACCUAUAAGACUGGGAUAACUUCGGGAAACCGGAGCUAAUACCGGAUAAUAUAUUGAACCGCAUGGUUCAAUAGUGAAAGACGGUUUUGCUGUCGCUUAUAGAUGGAUCCGCGCCGCAUUAGCUAGUUGGUAAGGUAACGGCUUACCAAGGCAACGAUGCGUAGCCGACCUGAGAGGGUGAUCGGCCACACUGGAACUGAGACACGGUCCAGACUCCUACGGGAGGCAGCAGUAGGGAAUCUUCCGCAAAGGGCGAAAGCCUGACGGAGCAACGCCGCGUGAGUGAUGAAGGUCUUCGGAUCGUAAAACUCUGUUAUUAGGGAAGAACAAAUGUGUAAGUAACUAUGCACGUCUUGACGGUACCUAAUCAGAAAGCCACGGCUAACUACGUG